GAAACCAACAGGGAUUGCCCUAGUAACGGCGAGUGAAGCGGCAACAGCUCAAAUUUGAAAUCUGGCUUUCGGGUCCGAAUUGUAAUUUGCAGAGGAUGCUUUUGGCGAGGUGCCUUCCGAGUUCCCUGGAACGGGACGCCUUAGAGGGUGAGAGCCCCGUACGGUUGGACACUAAGCCUCUGUAAAGCUCCUUCGACGAGUCGAGUAGUUUGGGAAUGCUGCUCUAAAUGGGAGGUAAAUUUCUUCUAAAGCUAAAUACCGGCCAGAGACCGAUAGCGCACAAGUAGAGUGAUCGAAAGAUGAAAAGCACUUUGAAAAGAGGGUUAAAUAGCACGUGAAAUUGUUGAAAGGGAAGCGUUUACGGCCAGACCUUUUCCUAGCGGAUCAUCUGGUGUUCUCACUGGUGCACUUCGCUAGGUUUAGGCCAGCAUCGGCUUCUGUAGAGGGAUAAAAGCAGUGGGAAAGUAGCUCUCUCGGGAGUGUUAUAGCCCUAAGCAUAAUACCUUUACGGGGGCCGAGGACCGCGCUUUUGCAAGGAUGCUGGCGUAAUGGUCGUCAACGACCCGUCUUGAAACACGGACCAAGGAGUCGAACAUUUGUGCGAGUGUUUGGGUGUUAAACCCUCACGCGUAAUGAAAGUGAACGGAGGUGAGAGCCCUUUACGGGGUGCAUCAUCGACCGAUCCUGAUGUCUUCGGAUGGAUUUGAGUAGGAGCAUUAAUGUUCGGACCCGAAAGAUGGUGAACUAUGCGUGGAUAGGGUGAAGCCAGAGGAAACUCUGGUGGAGGCUCGCAGCGGUUCUGACGUGCAAAUCGAUCGUCAAAUCUGCGCAUGGGGGCGAAAGACU
rnacentral:rRNA from 1 species